rnacentral:ncRNA from 1 species
ACAAUGAUACUUCCGUAAUUCUCGGCCCGGUCAGAAAGCAGACGGGGUGGCUGAGAUGCCAAUGG